rnacentral:tRNA from 1 species
GCCGGCAUAGCUCAGUUGGUAGAGCGUGUGACUGUUAAUCACAAGGUCCAAGGUCCGAGUCCUUGUGCCGGCG